GAUGAACGCUGGCGGCGUGCCUAAUACAUGCAAGUCGAGCGAACGGACGAGAAGCUUGCUUCUCUGAUGUUAGCGGCGGACGGGUGAGUAACACGUGGAUAACCUACCUAUAAGACUGGGAUAACUUCGGGAAACCGGAGCUAAUACCGGAUGAUAUUUUGAACCGCAUGGUUCAAAAGUGAAAGACGGUCUUGCUGUCACUUAUAGAUGGAUCCGCGCUGCAUUAGCUAGUUGGUAAGGUAACGGCUUACCAAGGCAACGAUGCAUAGCCGACCUGAGAGGGUGAUCGGCCACACUGGACCUGAGACACGGUCCAGACUCCUACGGGAGGCAGCAGUAGGGAAUCUUCCGCAAUGGGCGAAAGCCUGACGGAGCAACGCCGCGUGAGUGAUGAAGGUCUUCGGAUCGUAAAACUCUGUUAUUAGGGAAGAACAUAUGUGUAAGUAACUGUGCACAUCUUGACGGUACCUAAUCAGAAAGCCACGGCUAACUACGU
rnacentral:rRNA from 1 species